ensembl:lncRNA LINC01331 long intergenic non-protein coding RNA 1331
AGAGUGCUCGCAGCACUUGGGAGUUGGCAGAUGAACUCUUUUAGUGGUUGUUUUUUAAAAAUUGCUUUGAGUGGUCUGGGGAAUACAUUAAUUUAAUAUCCUCUUCAUAUUCAGAAUAUGUAACACCAUUGUGAGAAAUAAAACCCCAAGGUGAACAAGAUUGAAAGUGAAGGCAGCGCUCUAAGGAGGAAGCCAGCUGGCUUGAAUGGUGAUGUAAACAGCCUUGGAGGUUGUAAAAUUUGUGGGGCAAAGGCGGUAUGGAGUAAUGACAGGAAAAAGAAUGCUGUCCAUUUUUACUGUGAAAAAACUCCCUAUUUCAGAAAGAUAUACAUUAGGGUUGUGAGGUUGUAGGCUGAAUGAAGAUUGGAAGAAACUUGUUGAUUAUUAUUAAAUGCCUCUCAAUAUUUCAGAAGACAUUCCCCCACCCUGAAAGUAUAAUGUGAUAGAAAGAACUAUGGAGUUAGGCAACCUGUGAUUUGAGUUGUGCGAAAACGGGAAAGUUAUUUGUUUAGUCAAAGCCUCUGUUUCCACUUCCAUCAAGUGAGAUAAUAAUAUGUACUUCACUAGGUUAUUGGGAGGAUGAAAUGACUACCAGUACUGCAGAUACAUUUCUGAUACCCACAGCUUCCUGAGCAAGGUAUAGAUUAGCUAUCUCUUUGGUUUCCCUGAGGUAGCACAACAGAACCAAGAAAGUUCUUAUAAAAUGUGUUGUUCUCAAUUUUGCACUUGCUUCGAAAGAACUAGAAACCAAGGCAUGGUGCCAUCUCAAGAAGACAGAAGCAGAAGCCUGCCAGAAACUGGCUUGGUUGAAACUCUGGUUCAAAGCAUCAGGAAGCUAGCCAUUUUCCCUAACUUCUCACUAACAUAUAUACAAAGAGAUUUUUAAAAAAGAUAAAAUGUACAACACUGAAAAAUGACUAACAACCAAAUUCCAGCAUUUUGAAGAAACUGACAAUAAUUCUAAGCCAGAUGGAGAGAACCGAGAAUAACCGGUGUAGCUUUCCUCAUAUGUCAUACCUCUACUUUGCCUCCCCCAUUUGAAGACCUGGUGCCUAUAUCAAACAGAAAACUGUCCAGUUCUGUGAGGAGAGCAGAGUGCCUCUCUAUACGUUUCUCCCACAGCCACCUGCCCUCUGCCUCUUGUCCCCACUCAGGCUGCCACCCUGUCAUAUUUAGGCCAAGACCCCAAAUCUCAGAAAAAAGGUGAUCAGGAAGUAGUGGUGUGCUGACAAUGGUCCAAGGCCUGAGUGGGGUGGAUACACCCUUGAAUAAUCCCUUCCCCUUGAGAAUGAGUGGAAAUUGUGACUGGCUUCUAGCCAGUUGAGUACCGUGAAGGUGAUGGAUGUCACUCCUGUGAUUAUGUUACAUUAUCUAAGAAUUGUCCUAGUGGGCCCUAACAAGAGAUUCUUUUGCUGGCCUUGAAGAAGUAGGCUGACAUAUCAUGAGUGGACCUGGGAGAGGGCCACAUGCAAGGAACAGAGGGGGCCUGUAGAUGCCGAGAGCAGCCCUGGCUGACAGCCAGCAAGAAAGCAGGGACCUGCAUUCUACAGCUGCAAGAAACUGAAUUCUGCCAGCAACCCCCUGAGCUUUGAAGAGGAUCUCAAGACCCAGAAAGAAAUGCAGCCAGCCAACAUCUUGAUAGCACCCUUGUGAGACUCCGAGCAGAGGACCAAGCUAGGCCAUCUUCAGACUCCUGCCCCGCAGAAACUGUGAGAUAAUAAAUG